CCUACGGGAGGCAGCAGUGGGGAAUAAUGGACAAUGGGCGAAAGCCUGAUCCAGCCAUGCCGCGUGUGUGAAGAAGGUCUUCGGAUUGUAAAGCACUUUAAGUUGGGAGGAAGGGCAGUAAGCGAAUACCUUGCUGUUUUGACGUUACCGACAGAAUAAGCACCGGCUAACUCUGUGCCAGCAGCCUCGGUAAU
rnacentral:rRNA from 1 species